rnacentral:misc_RNA from 1 species
GAUGAAGAACGCAGCGAAACGCGAUAAGUAAUGUGAAUUGCAGAAUCCAGUGAAUCAUCGAAUCUUUGAACGCACAUUGCGCCCCCUGGUAUUCCGGGGGGCAUGCCUGUCCGAGCGUCAUUACAACCCUCAAGCUCAGCUUGGUGUUGGGCCCCGCCGCCCCGGCGGGCCCUAAAGUCAGUGGCGGUGCCGUCCGGCUCCGAGCGUAGUAAUUCUUCUCGCUCUGGAGGUCCGGUCGUGUGCUCGCCAGCAACCCCCAAUUUUUUUCAGGUUGACCUCGGAUCAGGUAGGGAUACCCGCUGAACUUAAGCAUAUCAAUAAGCGGAGGA